AAAUGCUCAUGUGCAAAAUUUACUCUGUUUCGCAUUGCACUAUCAUCAUUGUCACUCCAUGAGUAUUAGUUGAGGAAAGUGGGGUUUGGAACUCUAGCAGAGCAACUGAAGAAAAGUGGUGUUUCAGCUUUAGUUGUAUUCUACAAGAGUUUGGGUGGGUAAAUUUGGCUUUCCUUUCUUGUCCCUGUGAAGCCCCUUCGAUGCCACGUCUUCCAUU